UACAGGGGGUGCAAACGUUGCUCGGAAUCAUUGGGCGUAAAGCGCACGUAGGCGGUCUGUUAUGUCGGAUGUGAAAGCCCUCGGCUUAACUGAGGAAGUGCAUCCGAAACUGGCAGGCUAGAGUACUAAAGAGGGUCGCGGAAUUCCCGGUGUAGAGGUGAAAUUCGUAGAUAUCGGGAGGAACACCAGUGGCGAAGGCGACUACCUGGCCUGUUCUUGACGCUGAGGCGCGAAAGCUAGGGGAGCAAACAGG
rnacentral:rRNA from 1 species